rnacentral:tRNA from 1 species
GGGCGAGUGGUGGAACGGUAGACACGCCAGUCUUAGGAACUGGUCUCGAAAGAGGUGAAGGUUCAAGUCCUUUCUCGCCUACCA